rnacentral:rRNA from 1 species
UAAUACGGGGGGUGCAAGCGUUGUCCGGAAUUACUGGGCGUAAAGGGCGUGUAGGCGGCCUAGUCAGUCAGAUGUGAAAGCCCACGGCUUAACCGUGGAACUGCAUUUGAAACUGCUAGGCUUGAGUGUGAGAUGGGGUAGCGGAAUUCCCAGUGUAGCGGUGAAAUGCGUAGAUAUUGGGAAGAACACCAGUAGCGAAGGCGGCUACCUGGCUCACAACUGACGCUAACGCGCGAAAGCGCGGGGAGCAAACAGGAUUAGAUACCCUGGUAGUCCGCGCUGUAAACGAUGGAUACUAGAUGUUGGUUCUUUAUAGGAUCAGUGUCGCAGCUAACGCAUUAAGUAUCCCGCCUGGGGAGUACGAUCGCAAGGUUG